AGUGCAAAUUGCUGGAUCAUAUGAUAACAGCAUGAGUAGUUUGUAAGAAAUUGCCAUACUAUCUUUCAAAGUGGCUGUACCAUUUUCCAUUCCCACCAGCAAU
rnacentral:pre_miRNA from 14 species